UACGUAGGGGGCAAGCGUUGUCCGGAAUCAUUGGGCGUAAAGAGCGUGUAGGCGGUUCGGUAAGUCGGCUGUGAAAGUCCAGGGCUCAACCCUGGGAUGCCGGUCGAUACUGCGGGACUAGAGUUCGGAAGAGGCGAGUGGAAUUCCCGGUGUAGCGGUGAAAUGCGCAGAUAUCGGGAGGAACACCUAUGGCGAAGGCAGCUCGCUGGGACGUUACUGACGCUGGAGACGCGAAAGCGUGGGGAGCAAACAGG
rnacentral:rRNA from 1 species